GACGAGUGGCGGACGGGUGAGUAAUGUCUGGGAAACUGCCUGAUGGAGGGGGAUAACUACUGGAAACGGUGGCUAAUACCGCAUAACGUCGCAAGACCAAAGAGGGGGACCUUCGGGCCUCUUGCCAUCAGAUGUGCCCAGAUGGGAUUAGCUUGUUGGUGAGGUAACGGCUCACCAAGGCGACGAUCCCUAGCUGGUCUGAGAGGAUGACCAGCCACACUGGAACUGAGACACGGUCCAGACUCCUACGGGAGGCAGCAGUGGGGAAUAUUGCACAAUGGGCGCAAGCCUGAUGCAGCCAUGCCGCGUGUAUGAAGAAGGCCUUCGGGUUGUAAAGUACUUUCAGCGGGGAGGAAGGUGUUGUGGUUAAUAACCGCAGCAAUUGACGUUACCCGCAGAAGAAGCACCGGCUAACUCCGUGCCAGCAGCCGCGGUAAUACGGAGGGUGCAAGCGUUAAUCGGAAUUACUGGGCGUAAAGCGCACGCAGGCGGUCUGUCAAGUCGGAUGUGAAAUCCCCGGGCUCAACCUG
rnacentral:rRNA from 1 species